CAAAAGCAAGCAGGUCUUUCCAGCCAUCUGCUCGGCAGGAAGGAGGACGGCUUGAUUAAGAUUGCACAUCCACUUCAGCUGGUGGCUUAAUCAGCCCCAAACCUAAAAGAGCUUUCACAGCUCCUUCUGCUCUUCCCCAAACCCCUCCUGUGGGGUCACCUGGUGAUGGUCUGGCUGGGCUCAGCUUGUGGACUAGGAUAUCACAGAGCAAGGGGGAUGUUUUAUCUGCAAGGAGAAAGAGAGGGGACUCAGCCUGCAGCUGUAGAAAUCUUCAUGGAGGUGCUCCUCUUCCUCUCGCAUUACCUCCGCACCUCCAAGUCUGCACUCACCUCUGCCCAGCCACCCCUGCAUAGAGAAAAGGCACAGGACUGGACCUACAUCAACCACCGGUCUGUUCUUCCCCGCCCUGUCUGAAGUGAGGGCUCACACAAGGCCCCCACACGGCAGGCCACAGGUAACACUCCCUCAAAGAAGGAACCGAGGAACGAAUGGUUUGUGUCAAUCGCACCACUGGAGGAGGGAGUCAGGCAUCUUGUGCACUGACCCAGAUAAAGGAGAAUUUUCUACUCCACUGCCUUCUGAUGGAUGAACAGAGACAGAGGCCUCUCCCUGAAGACAUUCAAGCUGAGUCCCCAUGACAGCUUGGCAGGGAUGCUGUCAGGGGCUCCUGCCCAGGUGACAUGUGGGUCUUGAGGACAUAUGAAGGUUCUGGAAGCCGUAAGGUCUCCCACCCCGUGGAAGAGGACACCAGCCACAUCCAAGGCAGUGCCUUCCUGCUCCAUGCGGUGACUUGUGUGGACCUCACUGACAGACACGCACA
rnacentral:lncRNA from 10 species